rnacentral:rRNA from 1 species
AUAUCAAUAAGCGGAGGAAAAGAAACUAACCAGGAUUCCCUCAGUAACGGCGAGUGAAGCGGGAAAAGCUCAGACGGAAAAUCUUCGGAAUUGUCGUCUGGAGAAGCGUGACGAAGUGCUGCUAGGGCGGGCCAAGUCCUCUGGAACGAGGCGCCAGGGAGGGUGAUAGCCCCGUUCAUGCCUGCCCGAAAAGCCGGAGUAGAUCCGCUUUCUACGAGUCGAGUUGUUUGGGAUUGCAGCUCUAAGUGGGUGGUAAAUUCCAUCUAAAGCUAAAUAUGGGUGGGAGACCGAUAGCGCACAAGUA